AUUACAAUGAUGAUUAGUUACCGCCCCAGUCUGAACGUUUAUGUCGAUUGGUUUUUUAAGAUCUGAA